rnacentral:rRNA from 1 species
GUCAGCGGUCACAGCAGGGGUGGCACGCCCGGAACCGUUCCGAACCCGGAAGCUAAGCCCCCGAGCGCCGAUGGUACUGCGGGGUCAGCCCCGUGGGAGAGCAGGACGCCGCUGACC